AGACAUUUCAAAAAGUACAGCGAUCUGGAGGAGGCUCGUGCCAACCCACCAAACGCAUUGGUUGGACGUCAUGAGGAUUGGUACUUCCUCUACGACCACUAUAUGAGCCGUGCAUUCCAGGAGCAAUCACGGACGAACAAGGCUGCUAGAUAGAAGCAGCCUUACAAUCAUAGUAGUGGGUCCAAGUCGUUUCUACAAUGACAGUACGAGCUCACUGAGAGAAAAGGAGAGCUGGUCGAUCGUGUCGAGUUGUUUCGGGAAACACACAUUCGAGCUGGGACGUUCGUGUCGCAGGCCGCAAAGGAUGCACAUAAUCAAAUGCUGGAACUCCAAUCCCAGCCUACCACAGAGGGUAGUCAGCCACUCUCUGAGGAUGAGAUAUGCGAUCAGGUGUUGGCUAGACGACCAGGCUACUCAAAAAGCCUUGGUUGGGGACCCAAGCCGAAGGCCCGCAAAACGAUGAGUGGGAGCAGUUCGUCGACAUCAUCUUGUUUGCAGUCCACACAAAAAGAGAUUGAAUUACAAGCUAAACUUAAUGAAGCUUUGGAACGGAUUGAAGUGUAAGAUAGAAAUCACCAAGCGUUAGCUUCACAAGUGGAACGAAUGCAAAAGCUUAUAGAAGACUUCACUCGUGCACAACAGGGACCACCACAUGAUCCCUAACUCUGCGGUACGUAUAUAUGUCUCCAUUAUUCUUAAGUUUUUGCAAUGAUAGUAUAUAGUGAACAUAUGGAUAUAUGUACUAAACUUAGUUACUUUUAUAUCAUUU